UAGCAGAGAUGCUUUGGUGCCUUCGGGAACUCUGAGACAGGUGCUGCAUGGCUGUCGUCAGCUCGUGUUGUGAAAUGUUGGGUUAAGUCCCGCAACGAGCGCAACCCUUAUCCUUUGUUGCCAGCGGUUCGGCCGGGAACUCAAAGGAGACUGCCAGUGAUAAACUGGAGGAAGGUGGGGAUGACGUCAAGUCAUCAUGGCCCUUACGAGUAGGGCUACACACGUGCUACAAUGGCGUAUACAAAGAGAAGCGACCUCGCGAGAGCAAGCGGACCUCAUAAAGUACGUCGUAGUCCGGAUUGGAGUCUGCAACUCGACUCCAUGAAGUCGGAAUCGCUAGUAAUCGUAGAUCAGAAUGCUACGGUGAAUACGUUCCCGGG
rnacentral:rRNA from 1 species